CAGCUCUGAAAACAGGCUGCCUUUACAGAUGGCUUGGGAAUUUGUUGAAGACUCAUUUUAAUUUGAAAAUUCUGGUGUGUGAGAAGAGCUCACUUUCUGCAUACUUCUGCUGAAAAACAAAUCCCAGAAAAUCACCUGCUUUUCCCAUAAAAACUAUCAAAACAGGAGCCAUCACCAUCUAUAAGCUCAUUUGGAAAUAGCUCCAGAGCCAGGAUUUGCAAUUUCUUCUUCUGGGGAGCCUCUAUUCCACCUCUGAGAGCAGUCAGAGGAGGGUGAAGGGCAUCAGGGAGCAAGGAGAGUGGCACUGCAGGGGUGAAGGGAGGCGACAUGCACAAGUAAUCAGAUGGCACUGCAGCCACCAGGGGUCCUUGGUUGGGAGACACAGAGAGAAGAGAUGGACAUGAGAGACCCUCCAACCUGCUUUAAACUGAAAGAGGAACAAGAUGCUGCUCCUAUAACUUCUGCAGUUGUGGUGCUAUGGUUUCAGAUUCAUCUCCACAUUUUGAAUUUCAAGUGGAUUCACAGAAAUACAAGAGAGACUUCAAAGCUGGUCCCCUCCAAAGCAGCUUGGAGACGGCAGAUACCAAAAUGUGAGCUGGACUCUGAGGAGGAAAGGAAUUGUUAUCAGAAGAUGAUGCUUGCCAGAACACAGGGUGCCCUCUGACAAGCAGGACUUCAGCUCCAUUAAACAUCCCCACGCCCUCGGAACAGAAGACUCAGUGUUCUGUAUUCUUAUGGCUUGGAACAAGCAAAUAUUUCCUCACAAGCAAAUAUUUCCUCCUGUACAUUUCUGAAGUGAUCUCUCUUGCACAACAGCAGUAUGCAUUCAGGCAGUUCACUCUAAUUAUCGCUUUGUAACAUUUUGCAUCUGCUUCUGUUAAGUCACUGAAGUUCCUAGUAUGUUUUCUUGAGUUUUUUUAUUUUUAAACAACUUGUGUCUGUGUCUGUCAACAGCUGCCCUCUUCAUUUUAUGCACUUUGAAUGCAUUCAUUUUCUACAGUGUGUCUUGAUACUGCAGCUCAGCUCCAAGCUGGAACCCACAGCAGUCCUUUGACAGGCUCUCUGUUAGGCUUUCAGGUCAUCCCUAAUUUCAGGUUUUCUUCCAGACUCAUAGAUUUUGUUGUUGAAUGACAAAUAAUACAAUUUAAGCUCUCACAGAAGUGUAGGAACUCCUAGUUCUGCUCUCUCCAGCUGGAGCCAGAAGCAGGCUGGAACACGUGGGUGAGAUAUUUGUAUCCUUGGAGUUAGCUGGUGUCACCCACUCCAUCAAGGUGGGGGUCAGUCUCCUCUCCCAGGUAAAAAGCAAUAGCACAAAGAGGAAAGGACCACAAGUUGUACCAGGGGAGGUUUAAAUUGGAUGUUAGGAAAAAUUUCUUCACUGAAAGGGGGGUCAAGCACUGCAACAGGCUGCCUAGGGAAGUGGAGGCAUUUAAGAGUUGCAUAGAUGUGGCACUUAGGGAUAUGGUUUAGCGGUAGACUUAGCACUGCUGCUUUAACAGUUGGACUCAGUGGUCUCAGAAGUUGUUUCCAGCCUUAAUGAUUCUAUUGUGGGUUCCAACCCAUUUGUAGUAAAGUAAUGGAAUUCCAAAAAAACCGCAGAAUAAAAGUAUAGUACUUUAAAAAGUGUAUUUUAAG
ensembl:lncRNA